ACAGGUUUAAGAAGAAAAAUCAUAUGAUCCUGUUAAUUGUUGCAGAGAAAGCAUUUGACAAAAUCCAACACCUAAUCAAGAUUAAAAAAGAAAAAACACCCUCAGCAAACUGGAAAUAGAGGGAACUCACUUAACUUUAUAAAGAAUAGCUACAGAAAAACUAACAUCAUACUUACUGGUAAGAAACUGAAUGCCUUUCUCCUGAGAUCAGGAACACAACAAGGAUAUCCUUUCUUGCCACUUCCAUUCAACAUUGCAGUGAAGGUCAUACAAUUCCAGGUUGCUCACAGACCCCCUCUAGGAGAUGUUACUGUCGCUCAUUCGUAUUUCCGGUUCUACUCCUCUUCCGGGCACACUGGAGAAUUACACUUCCUUGCUGACUUGAGAUAAGUCACAGCUUUGGCCAAUGAAGUGUGAAUGGAAGUUUUCAGAACCUUUAAGAGCCUGUACGCAAUUUGCCAUGCUUUCUCUUUUUGCUUUGUCACCAAAACCUCUGUGUUCCAGAUAGUGACUACUCUGUCUGCGUGGGUCCUGGAGAGAGGAGGAUGCAGAGCACAGCACUUAGCCAACCUGCAAUGGACACGUAGAAAAACUUCUAAAAUCAUCAGGAGAUAUCACUGAAAAGGUUUCAAAACAAAGCCAUAAUCUCUAGAAAUGUGUCCUUGAUGGGUUGGUCUUCAUUUGCCUGAAGCCACCAACUGAUAGCUACAAAACUGCACUUCCUAGAGACAUGUUGAGAGAGGUUCAAGGCUCAACAGAACUUACCCUUUUGCUGUCAGAGCUCCACCACCAGAUAAGCACAACUGAGCGAAUGACACCAACCAGUGCCAAGAGAAGCAGGACUACCCAACUACACUUUGCCUAAAUUCCUGAUUCACAGAAUUAUAAGCAAAUAAAAUGAUUGUUUAAAGCACUAAGUUUUGGGUUCAUUUGUUAUGCGGCAAUAAAGAAUCAAAACACCUGGAACCCAGUUCCCUUCUCUUUUAUUACCCACAUGGUCUCUCUCCUGUAGUGUCGCUGUUUUUCCUGACUAGCUUUCUCAUCCUGCUGUUACACCCUUACUAGGAAUUUCUCUCAGCAAUAUCCAGUUAAAAUUCCGGAAGGGAAUAGGCUGGUUGGCUUUGCUCAUUGUCUCACUUUUCUUGGGCAGAACCUUUUGUACCAAUCCAUUUCAUCAGCAUUUUUAUGGGUGAAUCUUAGUUGACCAGGUACCGACUCUCGUCAAAUUACUGUCUGACUCUACACAAGAAAUAUACAAAGAGCCUGGUGCUGCUUUCCUGAGCAGGACAGUUCAUAGGGACAUUGAGCAUGGUUGGCAUCUAACCUGGUUAUUCUGAAGAUUUCAUGAUUAAAUCCUCAGUCCUAUGAAUUAACCAAUUGUCCAGUGUUAAAAUACAGACACCCCCUGCACACAUGAAACUGCUCAUCAAUUGUUUAAACUUUAACAUAUGUAAAAGGUGUCCAGUAGGAGCUAGCUGAAUCUGAGCAUUAAUGCUGGAAAAGGAGGAGGAGGCCUGAGAUCUUUGGCUGCUUGGUAGAGUAAAGGUGGUAGAAAGAAGUCAACAAGAACUUAAAGGAAAGAUCAAAGGACAGUGAAAGAACAUUUUUCCUAGUUUUGCCUAGAGCAGGCUUUUGAUUAAAGGUAGAGUGCUGACUCUCUAAAGAUAGAUAUCUAAAAGGAUUCUUCUAGAUACAUGAGAGCACAGGAAAGAUUGUGCAAGGGCAUAAAUAUGAGCAUACUAUAGUGAUUAAGACCAUGUGACAUUAAAGGAAGAGGAAGAUGGAAAAAAAGGUACAUGAAGAAUAUAAACAAGAGGUUGGUGCCUAGAAAAAGAGGAAGAUAGUAGAAAGUUUGGGAAGUAUAGAAAGUAUAAGAUCCUUUAGGAGUUGUUCUUUAUAUACUACUAUUUGCUAAACUUCAAUGUUUAAAAUUCAGCAUUUGUAGAGCAAGCGUAGGUAUACAGCUAUUAUUAAAUUCUAAUAUGUAAUGGUCUGUAUACUUCCAGAAGCUUUCAGAGUUUUGAAUUGAUAUUCCAUUAUAAAUUUUUUAGGAAUUCACCAUUUGUAAUGCACAUGUCUAGUGAUAAUUCUUUCCCUCAGCCCCACCCCCCAGAUCUUUAUAUGUCUGGUAAUUUCUCAUCAUUCAGGCUUUCGUUGAAACGGAAAUGCCUCAGAAAGCCUUUUGCUUUCUUAACCAUCCUUGGCAAGAAGAAUUCCAUGAUGGACCCUCCAGGUUCCUAGCCUUGAUAUACACACAUCUCUCAGUUAUUCAGUAAAACACACUAAUGUAGCUAUUGCUGUAAAGGAAGUAUGGAGAUGAAAUCAAGGUCCCAAAUCUAUUGACCUUUAAAUAAAGAGAUUAACCGGGUGGAACUGACCAAGUCAUAUGAGCCCUUUAAAAUAAAUUUUCUCAACCACAGUGAGAUACGACCUCAUAGCUGUUACAACGGCUAUAUCAAAGAGACAAGAGAGGCUGGGCAUGGUGGCUCACGCCUAUAAUCCCUGCACUUUGGGAGGCAGAGGAGGGUGGGUUACUUGAGGUCAGGUGUUUGAGACCAGCCUGGCCAACAGGCUGAAAGCCCGUCUCUACUAAAAAUACAAAAAUUAACCUGGCAUGGUGGAGGGCAUCUGUAAUCCCAGCAACUCAGCUGAGGCAGAAUAAUUGCUUAAACCCAAGAGAUGGAUGUUGCAGUGAGCCAAAACCACACCACAGCCCUUCAGCCUGGGCAACAGAGUGAGACUCCAUCUUAAAAAAAAAAAAAACAAGAGAUAACAAGUUCAGCUAAUUUAAUGUAUAGCAUGCCAAUUAUAAUUAAUAACAAUGUAACAUACACUUGGAAAUUGCUAAAAGAGUCGAUUUCAAUGUCCUCACCCCAAACAAAUAAUAUGUGAGGUAGUAGAUAUGUUAAUUAGCUUGAUUUUGUCAUUUCACAAUGUGUACAUAUAUCAAAAUAUAUUGUACACCAUAAAUAUAUACAAUUUUUAUUUAUUCAUUUAAAAAUAAGUAAAAAUAAAAAUGGGGCUUAUACUUUAAGAAAUUGAUUUUGGCCAGGCACAGUGGCUCACGCCUGUAAUCCCAGCACUUUGGGAGGCCGAGGUGGGUGGAUCACCUGAGGUCUGGAGUUCGAGACCAGCUUAGCCAACAUGGUGAAACCCCAUCUCUGAUGAAAAUAUAAAAAAUGAGCUGGGUGUGGUGGAAGGCUCCUAUAAUCCCAGCUACCUGAGAGGCUGAGGCAGGAGAAUCACUUGAAGCGGGGUGGUGGAGGUUGCAGUGAGUCGAGAUCGCAUCAUUGCACGCCAGCCUGGGCAACAGGAGCAAAACUCUGCUCAAAAAAAGAAAAAAGAAAAAAGAAAAAAAAAAACUUGAUUUUAUCUGGCUGUUUGAAGAAGUCAGAGAUGUGAAGUUUGUGACGGUUAUCACAUGCCAUUGCUGACAAAGAUGGAGGAAUUCAAGGAAUGUGGCAGGCUACUGGAGCCCAGGGUAGCCCUUGGCUAACAGCCAGCAAGGAGCAAGGAUCUCAGUCCUACAACUACAAGGAACUGGAUUCUGCCAGUAACAGCAAUGAGCUUGGAAGCAGAGUUUUUAUUUCAGCCUUGUGAGACCCUGAGCAGAGAACCCAGCAAUACCAUGCCAGACUUCUGAUCUACAAAGCAGUAUAUAAUAAAUGAGUGUUUUUUAAAUGGCUGAGUUCAUGAUAAUUUGUUACAUAGCAACAGAAAACUAAUUUACCAUCCUAAUCUAAAAUAAGACCCCAUAAUCACACUCCAGUCAUUAUUAUACAUUAGUUUGUUUUUCUUUCUUCAAAAAUAUAUAUAAUAAUUUAUGUAUUAUAUAUAAAACAUAAAAUUAAUAUUUAUUUGCUUGCUUGCUUGCUAAAUAUCUCUUCCCUAAUAUUAUAUUAGACAAUAAGCUUAGUGAGGGAACGUAAAAGGUACCCAAUCAAUAUUUACUUAAAAAAAGAUAAAUGCCUACAUUUAAACAAAUAUUUUUCAAAAAAAGGUUAAUCAAAUCUCAGAGAUACCAUCCCCCCCAAAAAAUUUUUUAAAUAUGUCUUCUAGGCCAGGCGCAGUGGCUCACACCUGUAAUCCCAGCACUUGGGGAGGCUGAGGUGGAAGGACUGCCUGAGUCCAGGAGUUCAAGACCAACCUAGGCAACAUGUUGAGACUCCAUCUCAUAAAAUAAAUUUGUUUUUUAAAGUGUCUUCUGGCCGGGCGCGGUGGCUUACGCCUGUAAUCCCAGCACUUUGGGAGGCCGAGGCGGGCG
rnacentral:lncRNA from 10 species